CAAAAUUAUUUCUGCAACUCUACCGUCGUAUUAUGAAUCACUAAAAACUAAAAAGCGCUGAAAAACUUAUUUCUUAAACAUUUCGUGUUUUUCUUUAUUGUGCAUCGCUCUUUGCGCCUUGCAACGCUUAAAGGGCUGCUUGCAUCUGGCUUCCUUGACGGGUCCACGUUCGCUCUCUAAGACUAUGCACAAUCACUGAAGAAGGCUCGAACUGAGUCCGAAACGUUUGAUGUCAAUAAAGAAGAAAGAUCGUUUAAUGUGAUCGUUUUCAUGGAUUAUUUUUUUUCUCCAAAAAAACAUGCCUUACAACUGCGUUGGCUCUUUAUGAGCUUUUACUAUAUUUUAUUUUAAUUCGUUAAUGGAACAUUAUUAAUUGGUGCGCAUGCUCUUAGUAUUGAAGAAAUUUAUGAACAGGCUUUUUACGAAGAACAAGGAAAUUUCAAAAAAGCCAAGCAUGAUAUAAUAGAUGGCGCAUUAUAGUCCACAAAGCCAAAAAACCCCGGAUUCGAUUUCCGGUAGAAUCGGCAUUAAACUGCAGGUCCUAUAUAUGUGAUAAUCUGAUGCGUAACAUAGGUAUAUGAAAGAAAGAAAACCACGUUCAAAAAAAAGACUGAGGAGGAUGUCUUUCAAAUGUAUCUGUUAAUAAUUACAUAAGCUAACAAAAUAAGCUUUUUUUGCUUAAAUUAAUGGUUAGAAGCAUGGCUGACUAGAUUCUGCGCUUUUUACAAUAAUAUAGUAUGCCGCUGUAAGCCUCAUGUCGAUUCGAGAUUCGACGACGAACUGCAUAAAUAUGUCCUCGGUUGUCAGGAAGUAAACAUGGACUCGAGUUUAUAGAUGUCAAAAAUUAUAUUAUCAUCCGCAAUGUAAAUAAACUAAUAUGAAAAUAAACUAAUAAGGAACAAUAUUACUUUAGCUGAAUUCAUUAUUACAUAAGUGUGUAAUUUGCA
rnacentral:misc_RNA from 1 species